rnacentral:misc_RNA from 1 species
GAUGAAGAACGCAGCGAAAUGCGAUACGUAGUGUGAAUUGCAGAAUUCAGUGAAUCAUCGAAUCUUUGAACGCACAUUGCACCUCUCGGUGUUCCGGGAGGUAUGCCUGUUCGAGCGUCAUUUGUACCCUCAAGCUCUGCUUGGUGUUGGGUGUUUGUUCCGCCUCUGUGUGUGAACUCGCCUCAAAACAAUUGGCAGCCGGCGUACUUGUUUCGGAGCGCAGCACAUUUUGCGAUCCAGAUCAACGUACAGCGGCAUCCAAGAAGCCUUAUUUAACGCUCUUGACCUCGGAUCAGGUAGGGAUACCCGCUGAACUUAAGCAUAUCAAUAAGCGGAGGA